UACGUAGGGAGCAAGCGUUGUCCGGAAUCAUUGGGCGUAAAGCGCACGUAGGCGGCUUUGCAAGUCGGAUGUGAAAUCCCUCGGCUUAACCAAGGAAGUGCAUCCGAAACUGCAGAGCUUGAGUACUUAAGAGGAUCGCGAGAUUCCCGGUGUAGAGGUGAAAUUCGUAGAUAUCGGGAGGAACACCAGUGGCGAAGGCGGCGAUCUGGGAAGAUACUGACGCUGAGGUGCGAAAGCGUGGGGAGCAAACAGG
rnacentral:rRNA from 1 species